rnacentral:rRNA from 1 species
CCUACGGGAGGCAGCAGUGGGGGAUAUUGCACAAUGGGGGGAACCCUGAUGCAGCGACGCCGCGUGGGUGAAGAAGCGCCUCGGCGCGUAAAGCCCUGUCAGCAGGGAGGAAAAUGACGGUACCGGAAGAAGAAGCCCGGGCUAACUACGGGCCAGCAGCCGCGGUAAUCGGGAGGGGGAAAGCGUUAUCCGGAUUUACUGGGGGUAAAGGGGGGGCAGCCGGGGAUGCAAGCACGGAGUGAAAGCCCGGGGCCCAACCCCGGGACUGCUCUUGGAACUGCGGGGCUGGAGUGCAGGAGGGGCAGGCGGAAUUCCUGGUGUAGCGGUGAAAUGCGUAGAUAUCAGGAGGAACACCGAUGGCGAAGGCGGCCUGCUGGACUGCAACUGACGUUGAGGCCCGAAAGCGUGGGGAGCAAACAGGAUUAGAUACCCGAGUAGUC